AAACAUAUCUACUAUCUACAAUAGUAAAUAUAAUUGAAAAGAUAUAUAAAUUAUAUAUGAUAGAUUAUAUAUAUAAAUGGAUAAUAAAUAUAAUUUAAAAGAUGAAGAGAGGUUUGAGUUGUUCCAAACUAUGAAACAGUUCUCCAUAUUUCACUUUUUUAUCACAGAAAUGUAUAAUCACUCCUGAGUUCCAAACUGCUAACUAUAUACUACUCUUUCAUUCUCAUAUUAUAAUAGCAACACACCCAUUCCACUGUUUUUAAGAAUUACCAUUUACCAAGAUUGGAGGCACUAUAGGUAAAAAUAGAAAUCUAGAAGGAGGAAAUCUACUUCAAGAUAUAAUAUAGGUGUAACAGCUAUAGAAAAUAUUUUCAUGUGGCAUUCUACUGUAGAUUAUCCAACUUUUUUUAAACAAUUGUCAUAAUUUUCAGGUAAAUGGCUAGAGGUUAAAAAUCUGAGGAUAUAUAUUAAUUAGUUGAACUCAUAUGACUUAUAGCUAUUUAAGGUGUGCAUUAUCCCUCUGCCUUCUCAGAGGCUAUUAUUGCUUUAAGGGCUGAAGCCUACACAAGGCAGCCAAGAAUGGGACAGAGACAGCAGGGGCCCACUCUAAAGCUGCUGAGUCCAUCUGUCAUAGCAAGGAUGUUAGCAUUUACUUUAAAAUCGAAUUUCCAUUCCAAAAUGUAAUUUCACCAACCACUAACUCUUGCAACAUUAUAUAUUUUUACCCAGAUGCUAUUUCUGGAGCUGUUAGUCAUGACUAGCUCUGCAUUAAAAUUUGACUGAAGCUGCAUGUAUGUAUUAAAUCAGUGAGUACCUUGAACUUUAUGUUAUUUAAGAAGAUUGGGAAAUAUGAUAUUUCAGGGAAUAAUGUUAAUAUAUAAUUGACACACACAUUCCAAAUAAUAUGAAGGAUAUAGUUUUCUAUAGAAAUUUAUACCAGUAACUUUGAAUUUUCAGAGAGAGUGUCUAGUAUGGAUUUUAUGAUGCUUAAGCAUUAUUAAUAGCAAUAUUUUUAUAUUAAAAUGAUAGUAAUUUUCAGUUGAUCAGAAAUUAAAAUCUAGUUAAUUCUAUUAUUGAAUGUGUUUGUAUUUGUCUAUGUGUAAUAGCAUGUGUGUACAGUACAUGCAUGCACAUAUACACACAUUAACACAUACACUAUAUAUAUUUACACACAGAUGUAUGUGGUGUACAUAUAAGAGGGGACUUCAAAAAUUUCAUAGAAAAAUUGAAUUAAAAGAUAAAAAUAGAAAAAAUCUCUCAACAUAAAGAAACAUCUGAUUAAAAAACUUAAUGUUAAGAAAACAUUCAUGAAGAAAAGGAAUUAAAAGAUAAAAAUUCAAAAAACAUUUCUCAACAUAAAGCUCCGUCAAGUUCAAAACACUUUUGUAGCAAUGAAACCAGCCAUUUAGUCUAUCACUAAAGAACUGAGUUUCCUAGAAAUUUAACCAUGUAAAUGCAAUCUUUUUUACAUUAUCAACUGAAGAACAAGGGCUUCCUUUAUGAAUUUUUAAGAUUAGGAAACAGAAAGAAUUCAGAAAUAGCCAAAUCAUGAUUGCAAGGUAGGUACGUAAUGAUAUCCCAUCAAAAUUCUUUCAAAAUGGCCGUUGUUUGAUGAAAGAAAUGAGCAGGAGAAUUGACAUGGUGGAGAAGGACUCUCUAGUGAAUGUUUCUCAGCCAUUUUUCUGCUAAAGUUUUGGUUAACUUUCUUGAAGCACUCUCAUAAUAAGCAUGUUAUGAUUGUUUGGCACUCCAGAAAGACCCAAUGCAUUUAGCAUCCCCAUAAAACUGUUGUUGCCAGGAUCAUUGCUCUUGACCAGUCCACUUAUACUUUGACUGGACCACUUCCACCACUUGGUAGCCAUUGCUUUGAUUGUGCUUUGUCUUUAGGAUUGUACUGGUAAAGCUGUGUUACAUCUCUCAAUAUAAUUCUUUGAAGAAAUACUUCAGGAUCUUGAUCCCACUUGUUUAAAAUUUCAUUGAAAUUCUGCUUUUGUCCUCAGCUGAUCUGGGUGCAAUGGUCUGACACUCAUUGAAUGGAAAGUUUGCUUAACUUUAAAUUUCACUCAGAAUUAUGUAAGCUGAACAAAUUGAAAUGCCUAUGGUGUUGACUAUUGCUUCUGGUGUUAUCAGUUCUUUUCAAUUAGGGCAUGAACAAGAUGAACUUUUCCUCACAAAUUGAUGUGGAUGAUCUGUCGCUGCAGGCUUCAUCUUCAACAUUGUCUUGUCCCUUCUUAGAAUGGAUUAUUCAUUUGUAUACUGCUAAUUUGGGAUAGAGGAGCAUUUUCCCCGUAAAGCAUUUCAUAAAGUAUCAAUGAUUUUACCAUUUCUUCCACCCAACUACACCAUAAUUUGAUAUUUGUUCUUGGUCAAUUUUAGCAGAAUUCAUGUUGCUCUGACAAGGGCUUUUGUCAAACUGAUGUCUUACCCAUCUUAGUGACUCAGACUAGAUCUUGUUUAUACAUGUUUUAACAAGGUGUAUGACUUUAUUUUGGUGCAAAAUCUUUUUGAAAUCCAUGAAUAGUUUUUGUAUAAUAUGCAUUUUUAUGAUAUCUUUGAAAACCCUCGUGUGUGUGUGUUUGUGUCUAUGGCAUGCCCUAUAUAUGUGGAAGGAUAAAUCUGUAAAUGCAUGCACUAAUAUGGACUACAGAUGUGAACUAUAUCUCCAUGUACAUAUGUAUCUCUAUAUACAUGUGCAUUUAUGGAUGAAAUAUUUAUUGCCUACUGUGUGUUAAGUGACUGUGCUCUUAGCUAUGCAAAUGAUUUCAACUGAUGUUUUUUCCCUAUCCCAUCUAUUUACUAUCCUCUAACUUGUUCCAAAAAAUAGGAUACAGGAUAAAUAACUGAAAUUGUUUUUUGAAUGAGAUUGCAGUCGAUAUAUGAUUUAGAGGACCAAGCAGGCAAAGAAUUUGUAUAUUCAAUCAAUGCCUCUUAGUUGGUGAUAGUUGUUUUUUUUUUUUUUAUUUUUUUUUAUUUUUUUUUUUUUUGAGACAGAGUCUCGCUCUGUCGCCCAGGCUGGAGUGCAGUGGCGCGAUCUCGGCUCACUGCAAGCUCCGCCUCCUGGGUUCACGCCAUUCUCCUGCCUCAGCCUCCCGAGUAGCUGGGACUACAGGCGCCCGCCACCACGCCCCGCUAAUUUUUUUUUUUGUAUUUUUAGUAGAGACGGGGUUUCACCGUGUUAGCCAGGAAGGUCUCGAUCUCCUGACCUCGUGAUCCGCCCGCCUCGGCCUCCCAAAGUGCUGGGAUUACAGGCGUGAGCCACCGCGCCCGGCCGGUGAUAGUUGUUUUUUAGAAUUUUUUCCCCUUAUCACAAGACUGAAAUGAAAAUUGAUGCAAUCACAUGAUGGAAUAUUUGUUCAAUCUGACAGAUUAAUGGUCUAGGAAGAAAAAAUUAAUUUUGAUUUCACCAAAGAAAAACAGUUUGUUGAAAAUCAAUCAGUUCUCAUACAUAGCUAAGAAAAUAUUCACUGCUUUUCAAGCCAUCAAAUGCUUUUAAUAAAUAUCUAAAACAAGGUGGUUAAAAUGUCAACUAGCACUUUUAUUAAGUAUUUUUCUGGAUUUAAAAAGAGAAAUGUCAUAGCAUAUCCUAUCUUCUAGAUUUGUAUUCUCUUGGUCAAGAGCAAGCAUGAGCAAGCCUCUGAAGAGCUGCAUCUCUAACUGCAAGCAUCCCCACGUACUUAUAUAUAUAUGAGCAGGCACUGGCCCUCUCUUUUCUGACAUUCCCUGAAGUGUUCAAUAUUAACAAGCUGUUCAUUGAACUAGGAACAAAUUGGUUGGAAUCAUAUUUGCUAUGUUUUAUUAAAGCAUAGGCAAAAUUACAAUUUCAAAACUACAAGGGAUCUGAUUCCAAAUGUUAUUUUUGUAUAUGAUGAAUUUUAAAAAGUGUUAAAGGGUGAUCCAAAGUUGCCUAUCUAUUCAUUAGCAUGUCUUGCUUUAUGAAAUCCAGAGGUUUUUUCUAUUAUGAUAUAUGUUGCAUACUGAAUCUUAGGGUGCACAUACCUGGCCUAGACAUAAAGAUCUGCUGUUACGUUAUUUUCAAGUUGAGGUAGAGUUAAUGUAAAGUAAUAUGCAACAAUGUUCUUUUCAAUGAGAUUUACAAUUAUACCCACCAUCUUUGUACCUGCAGCAAAUAGAAAUGCUAUUGUCAAGGUAGUCUGUAUGAAAUGCUGAAUUUGGCAAAUUCCUCAAAAUACUUAUAAAAUGUGUUAUAAUAAAUAAUAUUUAUAUUUUUUUCUGGUAGUAAUAACUAAUUAAUGCUAAAUAUAUUUUUGAACUUCUACUAUGUGCCAGAAAAACAUUGGAAAAACAAAUCUGAAUGAACAGGCUAUUUUCUCAAACCUAUAAGUAAAGGUUGGAGAUAAAUCCACAUUUACAUUUUUUUUUUUAACUUGCUACGAAAACACUUAAAAGAACAACCUGAGGCAUUUUGGCUAACCAGAGAAGCUGAUGCUUCUAUCCAGUAUUGAAGAGUAGAUCACAUUUUGUUUGAUAAAGAUCUUAAAAGUCUCAUGUUUCUACAGGCUUCUAUGAAUUUUCUUCUCUUAAUUGGUUUAAGUGAUUAAUCAGUGAUUACUAGAUGGAUCAUUGAUUGGUGUGACCAAGAUUUAGGCAGAGGGUGUUAAAAGAGUGACUAGUAUGGAGGGUAAAAAUUUUAACAAGUCUAAAUCAUGAAGCACCUUGAAUACCAUUCUGAUUUGUUUGAUUUUCUAUUAGCUAUGUCAGGUCACCAAAAGAUAUUUUUAUGAAAAUAACAUGGUCCUUUUGAUUAUUUCAGAAGACCAUUUUGAAAAUAACAUAGAAACCCCAUUGAUAGGAGAUUAGAUUGAAUUUAGAAAGAAAGACCAUUGUGAAGUGUCUGAGAAAAAGAACUGUUGCUUAGAAUGUAGUCAUUAGCAACAAUUUACAAACAUUACUAAAAUAAUUGAUAUACAUAAGAAUAAGAAAUAUAACUGCAGAAAAUAUGGGAUCUCAGGCAAAAGAAGUAAAAUAGCUAUCCUAUGCUCAAAGAAAGAGAAUAUUUAUCUCUUCUCACAAAUGUUAAUUCACACUGAUUCACUCUCCUGGAAAUGAAGAAGAAUGGAUAGAAAAAGUACCGAUAAAUUGGCUGUAUUUUGUUUUACACACACACCAUAUUAUACACCUCUGUAGUUGCUUUCCUGUCAUCUCUCCUAAGGGGGUGAAUUCUUUAGUAAGAAUGUCUUCUUACUAAAAUUGGCCAUAAGUGUUUGUAAAAAAUAUAUUUUUGAUCCAGAAUAAAUUGAUUUCAGCAUCCAGUGGUAUCCUACACAUUAUAUAUACUUAAUAAAAUAUUUCAGUAACAGGUAUCACAUGACAAACAAAUAAAUGGUUACUACAAAGAUGUAUUCUGUGAGCUUUGUAUUUAUUCAUCCAGGUUUUCACUGUCUUCUAGUUUCAGUUAUCUCUUCAUAUUGCACUUGAUCUUAAAUCAGGAAGAGUGUUUUAUAUUUAAUAUUCUGAAAUAUCUGGUAAUAAUUAUAAGGCUCAUCUAAUUCACCUCACUUUUAGAGACAAAAAUGCUGGAAACAAUCUGUUUAAAUCUUUGAAAAAUAUCUCCAAUAAAUUAAUUUAAUUUUAAGAAUAAUUUUAAAUCUCACAAUCAUGAGAUUAGCGUUAUAAUGAUUUUGUCUUAUUUAUGACAUUAAUGUAUUUUAUUUGCAACAAUACUACAUGUGUAAAAGUUGAGCUGCCCAAUGCAGAUUAAUAAAUCAAAACUAAAAUAUAAUUGACUUUGCAUCCCCUAGUACAAACAGCACAGAACAGUUUCUGAUAGGUCUCCUCUGAUUGUGAAGACAGCACAUUCUACAGGAGAAAUACUCCUUUAGCUCCUACAUCAGCUGUCACAGAAGGCUAACAGCUUUGAAUGAAGCUCAGAGGAGGAAACUGCCCUAGGGCAGACUUGCUACUUGAGUCAUAUACACUGGCUGGCCCUAUUAUUUAGAACAUAUCAGCGGUGGAAAAAGUGGGAGGUUUCUGUCAAGCUUCACUGGACAAAUCACAAUACAGUCCCCUGAGAUUCUAGACGAAGACCACGCUGUCUACAGUAGAGAAUUAUGUGUGUUUAAUAAGCAGCAUUAGCUGUGCUACACGGAGCUGGUAUGGUUUAUUAUCAACAGGCAGAAGAGCCUGCCAGUGGAAUGAACUACAGGAGAAGUACUGAAGGUAAUUUCAAAGUAAUAGGCAGGGACAAUGAGUAACCUAGUUCACAAACACUAUUUUACUGUCUUCCCUUCUAUAGCAUUCCUAAUAUUGUUAAUAGUACUCACAGAAAGAAAACACUGAGACAGAGCUACACUGAAGCCAGGCAGAAAGGGUAAAGCUGCAUACAGUGGUAAAAGUGGUUGACAUCUCCAAAAGAUUUUUCAGUAAGAAGAAUAGAGGAUUAAACUCAUUCCAAAUUAUAUAUUUAAUCACAGAUUAAGUAUAAUAACAAAAUAAAAGAAAAUACAUAAAGAAAUAUAAUAUAUGUAAUUUCAAAAAAACUUAGUUCAUCAUAGUAACUUGCUGAUUUUCACAUUUAAUCUGAUUAUCAAUGCUUUGGAAAAAUUUAAUGUAUCAUGGGGAAUGACAAAGAGGUGCUUUUGAUUAUUUUAUUUAUUGCUCCAUAGAAAUUUAAUCUAUAUCAAAUAAAUUACCCAUUAUUAUGUAUUGAGAUGAUUAUUGGUCUUUAAUAUUAAUAAUACAUUUAUCAUAUACCUAGCACAUAUUUUCUGUAGCAGUGCAAUGAACUGAAAUUAAGUAGCUCUAAUAAGCCUUCAACAAUAUAGCAACAUUCCUAGAAUCCUACUAACUUCAACUCAUGAAUGGGUAGUAAAUUUUAUCAAAUUUCUUAUUGAAAGAUUACAUGGCAAUGUGAUUCAUUAUACUGUCUUAUUUUCCAGUGUACUACAACUUUUAAACAUGGGAGAAAAAAUGAAACCACUCAGGGAUUGUAAAAGAUUUUGAUGUUUAAAUAUUUUUAAUUUUUUUUGGUAAUGUCUGGGUAAGGGUGAUACUGGCUUUAUAAAAGACUUGGAAGAUUUCCUUUUUUUCAUUUCUCUUGAAAUAUUUGCAUAAAGUUGGUGUUACUUUCUCUUUAAAUGCUGGAAAUAAUUUGCCAGUGAAGCCAUCUGUACCCAGGGGUAUUUGUCAGAAAGUUCUAAAACAUACUUAAUAUCAUUAGUAGAAAAGGAAAUAUUUACAUUUGAAAAUUUAUUCUUGUAGGUUUUUUUGGCAAAUUAUGUCUUUUGAGGAAUUUGCCAGUUUUAUAUAUCACAUAUAUCAGAAUGAAGUUGUGCCUUCUAAUUAUGGUUCAAUGCAUUGAAAUAUAGGAAAUGCAAUAAUUUUCCAUUUUCAUAUUUUUUAAUUGCCAAUUUAUAUUGUUAUGUUUUGUUUUCUGCCUCCUUGAUCAUGCUGCUAGAAAGGGGUCAACUUUAGGCUUUUUAUUCCCUAUUAUAGUUGGUUUUCUACCUGGUUGAUUGUUAAUCUUAAUUAUUUCCUUUCUUUUAAUUAUUUAUAUUAAAUUUGCUGUUUUAACUUCUUGUAAAUUGAGAUAGAAGCUAUGGGAAUUAUUUUAUUUUAAAUUUGCUUUUUUUUAAUUGUAUUUGCAAUGACAUAAUUGUACAUAUUUAUGGAGUACAGUGUGAUGUUUCAAUGCAUGUAUACAUUCUAUAAUGAUCAAAUAAAGGCAAUUAGCAGAUUCAUCGUUUUAAAUAUUUAUCAUUUCUUUGUGGCGAUAACAUUUUAAGUCAUCUCUUCAAGCUAUCUUGAAAUAUACACUAUGUUAUCUGCUAUAGUCACCCUAGUUUGUAAGAGAGCACCAAACUUAUGUUUUCUAACCGCAAUUUUGUGCCCAUUGACUAGCUUCUCCCAGUAUCACAUCUCCACUACCCUCCCCAGACUCUGAUAACUAUUAUUCUAUGCUCUACUUCUAUGAAGUCAACCUUUUACAAAUUCUACAUAUGAGUGAGAUCAUAUGGUAUUUGUCUCUCCGUGCCUGGCUUAUUUCAUUUAAUAUGAUGUCCUUGAUGUCCUUCAGCUUCAUCCAUGUUGCCUCAAAAGACAGGGUUUCAUUUUG
rnacentral:lncRNA from 1 species